GGGCUGUAGCUCAAUGGAAGGGCAUGUGUUUUGCAUACAGAAGGUCCCAGGUUCAAUCCAUAGCUGUCAACG